rnacentral:snRNA from 2 species
AUACCUUUCUCGGCCUUUUGGCUAAGAUCAAGUGUAGUAUCUGUUCUUAUCAGUUUAAUAUCUGAUAUGUGGGCCAUUGGUUCACACGAUAUUAAAUUUAUUUUUUAAGGGAGAGAGUGGGCUAAUUGCAGUGGCUUGCUACUGUGGCUCUCUAGCAUCGCCUUUGCUUUACACUACUGUAAGGGCUUGGUGCAUCCCUC